rnacentral:rRNA from 1 species
UAGGAUUACGCCUGCAUGUCUAAGUAUAAGCUUUAUACUGUGAAACUGCGAAUGGCUCAUUAAAUCAGUUAUAGUUUAUUUGAUGGUGUUUCUUACUCGGAUAACCGUAGGAAAACUAGAGCUAAUACGUGCGUAAAUCCCGACUUCGGAAGGGACGGAUUUAUUAGAUAAGAGGCCGACCGGGCUUGUCCCGACCUUCGGUGAAUCAUGAUAACUUCACGAAUCGCAUGGUCCAGAACCGGCGAUGUUUCAUUCAAAUUUCUGCCCUAUCAACUUUCGACGGUAGGGUAGUGGCCUACCGUGGUGGUAACGGGUGACGGAGGAUUAGGGUUCGAUUCCGGAGAGGGAGCCUGAGAAACGGCUACCACAUCCAAGGAAGGCAGCAGGCGCGCAAAUUACCCAAAUCCCAAUUCGGGGAGGUAGUGACAAGAAAUAACGAUGCUCCGGCCUCUGGUCGGGUAAUCGGAAUGAGAACAAUUUAAAUCCCUUAUCGAGGAUCAAUUGGAGGGCAAGUCUGGUGCCAGCAGCCGCGGUAAUUCCAGCUCCAAUAGCGUAUAUUUAAGUUGCUGGGGUUAAAAAGCUCGUAGUCGGAUUUCGGGUGGCGCCUACCGGUCCGCCUUUGGUGAGUACUGGUAGGUACCACCUUUCUGCCGAGGACGGGGUUCUGGGCUUACUUGUCUGGGCCCCGGAGUCGGCGAUGUCACUUUGAGUAAAUUAGGGUGGUCAAAGCAGGCUUAUGCUCUGUAUACACUAGCAUGGGAUGACACGAUAGGACUUCGGUUUAUCUUGUCGGUCUGUAAAUCGGAGUAAUGAUGAAGAGGGACAGUCGGGGGCAUUCGUAUUUCGUAGUCCGAGGGGAAAUUCUUGGAUUUACGGAAGACGAACUUCUGCGAAAGCAUUUCCCAAGGAUGUUUUCAUUGAUCAAGAACGAAAGUCGGGGGCUCGAAGACGAUUAGAUACCGUCGUAGUCUCGACCAUAAACGAUGCCGACUAGGGAUCGGAGGUGGUUUUUUUAUGACCUCUCCGGCACCUUACGAGAAAUCAAAGUUUCUGGGUUCCGGGGGGAGUAUGGUCGCAAGGCUGAAACUUAAAGGAAUUGACGGAAGGGCACCACCAGGCGUGGAGCC